UGUUAAGGAUGUUUGCAUCUAUGCUCAUGAAGAAUACUGGUCUUUUUCUUGUAAUGUUUUAAACCAGAAGUACAUGUAAUGUAGUAAACCAGAAUACACUGGCUUGAUGAAUUGGUCAAGGUUCCCUUUUCCUCUGUUUUCUCUAAGAUUUUGUGUAGGAUGGGGACCAUUUUCUCCUAACAUGUUUGAUAGAAUUCACUAGUGAAGGUACUGUGGUGUGAAGUUUCACUGUGGAAAUGUCUUUAUUAAUAAAUUCAAUGUAUUUAAAAGGGUGUGUAUGGUUCAUCUGAUUUCCCAUUUCUUCCUGUCACAAUUUUGGUAACUUUUGUUUUUCAAAGAACUCGUCCAUUUCUUUGAAGUAGUCAGAUUUGUUGACAUGAAGUUGUUUAUAAUAUUGCCUUGUUCUCCUUCUCUAGAAAUGGUAUCAUCUACUGCUGCAUAGGCAAACACUUAGAAGCUUAAAACAAAUAUUUAAAGAUUUCACAUAGGUUCCUAGGUUCUGGGUCAGGAAUUCCAAAGUGUGGUAGUUGGGUGGCCCUGGCCCAGGGGCUCUCAUGAAGCUGCAUGCCAUCAGAGGUUGGGGAAGGCCAUAGCCAUUGGGAGGGCUGACCAGGAAUGCAGAAUUGGCCAUCAGGGCAGUUCACACAUGAGUUGGACAGAUUAGGAUUGGUUGCUGGCAGGAGGUCCUUGUCAUGUGAACCUUGCCACUAGGCUUCUUAUCUGUGGUCAUAACAUGACAGCUGGCUGCUCCCAGAGUAGGGGAUUCAAUGCCAAACAAGGUGGACAACACAAUGUCUUUGAGGCCUGGCCUUGGGAGUCACACUUGAAGGAGGAACCCUCUGGCACUGCUGAUGGGAAUGCAGACUGGAGCAGCCAUUGUGGAGAACAGUACGGAGCUUCCUCAAAAAGUUAAAAAUAGAGCUACCCUACAAUCCAAUAAUUGCACUAUUAAGUAUUAAUCUCCAAAAUACAAAAAUACUAAUCUGGGAAACACACUCACCCCAAUGUUUAUAGCAGCAUUAUCAACAACAGCCAAACUGUGGAAGCAGCCAAACUCCCCAUCAACGGAUGAAUGGAUAAAAACGAUGUGGUAUAUACAUAUAUACACAUACAUACCAGGGAGUAUUACUCAUCUAUCAAAAAAAAAAU
rnacentral:lncRNA from 1 species